GGGUCGGCAUGCGGCCGCUUUCACGCUAGUCGGCACCUGUCCCGAAGCUGGCUUCCGCGUGGCGGUGGCUCAUGGUGGAGGUCUAGGAAGAUUCACUGGAGGUUGGGUGGGGCGUGGCAUCUUCCUAAGAAGCUUCCACGCGGAAGAAACGUGUUCCUCGUCUUCCUCCCUGGUUACUAUAUUACAAAGGGCUGCGUGUGGAAGUCUUCCCGCACAGGUGUCCGCUACGUGAGUCGUGGAUCUCCCAUCAUCCAUGAGGCUGCCUUCUUCCUGCGUUUCCUGAACAAAGAGGGGAUUGUGACUUUUCCCACUAAGUUCUUCGUGUUAAUUUACUGAGGUAUCAUUGGAUCACACAUAUCUGCAAAAAAUUAUCGAUUAGGAUUGCAAGGAAUUGAGGAGACGAAGUAACACAUUGGGAGAAGUACGAGCAUAAGAAUCAAAUCACAUGUUCAUUGCAUAGAGACAGGCCAUUAAUCUGGACGGAGCAGACCACCUAAUUUUUAUCAUGGAGUGCAGCACAGUUGAGCAAUUAAUUCAGUUCUCAUUCCACUGGAUGAACAUUGCAUUGAUCAGGCCAACCACGCAGGUCAGCCAUCAAGUCCAACUCAUGCGUUUUCCCAUCAGUUUCGUUAUGAUGUAGAAGAAGGUGUCAUCUUCUGAAGGUAGACAACUUCCAGCAGAAAUAGGAGAUUGAUAAGAAAUAGCCACAAUGAGUCAAACUCCAAUGAGGCAUGGCAAAGUUCAUGAACCAAUAAGCAUACAAGUUGUUGUCAUCAAUAAAAGGUUGUUUCUCAUGAUGGCUUAUAAGACAUGACAGUUCCACUUUCUCUCCAUAUCUCAUACCAAUAUAUUUCAGUGAUCUACAGCAAUGCUGAAGAACUUAUAUGUCA